GCAAAAUGGGGAUGUGGCGGGGACGGCCGUCCGGGACGGUGGCCGUGCCUAACCCUAAACUGUCGUUGCCUUAUACUGUCGAGUCGUGUCUGACCCACAGAGACGGCCGUGGACACAUCUCUCUCGGACGGCCCCGCUCUCCAUCUGCAAUCGAUCUGGAGCUGCCGGCGGGAGGCAGAGGAAGAGAAGAGCAGGGGCUGAGAAGCAGGAGGAAGAUAACGACCGGAGUCUUACCUCUAUUAGCUGGGCCACCAUCUUCGGCCCGUCUGCUCCCGGAUUGGCCGCUUUAUCAAACUCCAGAUCGAAAUAAAGUUUGCACACGGUGUUCUCAGGAAUAACCUCA